rnacentral:tRNA from 1 species
GGUCUUAAGGUGAUAAUCAUAUUGAAUUGCAAAUUCAAAGGUGUAGAUAAUGACUCUACUAAGACUU